CUGGCUCAGAACGAACGCUGGCGGCGUGCUUAACACAUGCAAGUCGAACGCGAAAGGGACUUCGGUCCGUGAGUAAAGUGGCGCACGGGUGAGUAACGCGUGGAUAAUCUGCCCAAUGGUCCGGGAUAACAUUCGAAAGGGUGCUAAUACCGGAUAAGACCACGAGAUCUUCGGAUUUUGCGGUAAAAGGUGGGGACCUUCGGGCCUACCGCAAUUGGAUGAGUCCGCGUACCAUUAGCUAGUUGGUAGGGUAAGAGCCUACCAAGGCAACGAUGGUUAGCUGGUCUGAGAGGAUGAUCAGCCACACUGGAACUGAGACACGGUCCAGACUCCUACGGGAGGCAGCAGUGGGGAAUUUUGCGCAAUGGGGGAAACCCUGACGCAGCAACGCCGCGUGAGUGAUGAAGGCCUUUCCGGGGUCGUAAAGCUCUGUCAGAGGGAAAGAAAUGCAGUUGUGCUAAUACCAUGACUGCUUGACGGUACCCUCAAAGGAAGCACCGGCUAACUCCGUGCCAGCCGCAGC
rnacentral:rRNA from 1 species